rnacentral:rRNA from 1 species
CACUCCUGCGGGAGGCAGCAGUGGGGAAUAUUGCACAAUGGGCGCAAGCCUGAUGCAGCCAUGCCGCGUGUAUGAAGAAGGCCUUCGGGUUGUAAAGUACUUUCAGCGGGGAGGAAGGCGAUAAGGUUAAUAACCUUGUCGAUUGACGUUACCCGCAGAAGAAGCACCGGCUAACUCCGUGCCAGCAGCCGCGGUAAUACGGAGGGUGCAAGCGUUAAUCGGAAUUACUGGGCGUAAAGCGCACGCAGGCGGUCUGUCAAGUCGGAUGUGAAAUCCCCGGGCUCAACCUGGGAACUGCAUUCGAAACUGGCAGGCUAGAGUCUUGUAGAGGGGGGUAGAAUUCCAGGUGUAGUGGUGAAAUGCGUAGAGAUCUGGAGGAAUACCGGUGGCGAAGGCGGCCCCCUGGACAAAGACUGACGCUCAGGUGCGAAAGCGUGGGGAGCAAACAGGAUUAGAUACCCGAGUAGUCCCAUG